rnacentral:lncRNA from 1 species
AGAGAGCUGAGGUGCCUGUGAAGUUGGAGUCAGUGUUCUGUGGGAGACAAAAGACCACAGAGUUUCUCCCAAGCUUCAGUCUAGGAGGAAUGGACAAGAUCCUGACAGCAUCGUUUUUACUUCUAGGCCUUCACCUAGCUGGGGUGAGUGGCCAGCAGGAGAAACGUGACCAGCAGCAGGAACCUGGAAGUCCAGCCUAUUCCUUCCACCUAACAAUUGGCCCAUGGCUUCUAUACUGACACAUCAAGAACCAAUAAGGAACAGGACCUCAGCAUCAGCACUACCCCUACACAGGCUAAUGCCUCUGAAUAUCUCAUAGUACAAGAGUUCAGGGGUACAGAUAUUUUAAAGACAAAAAACACAAAGACCAUAAUUUAAUAUCAAAGUUAGAUGAAAAUAAUAUCAAAGUAACCUUGAAACAUUCAACCACCCAUUUAGGUGGUAUUAACAUGCUUCUAAGUAUAUCCAUGUUAUGUGUAUCAUGUGUUGUGAGGGUAAAUAAUUGCCUUAUAUCAUGAGGAUACUUGGCAAUCUAAAUCUGAGAUUGUUUUGCAAGUAAAAUAUAGAGAACUUAAUAAGUCAAACUGAAUACUUGAGGACAGAGUUGCUGUAGUAGUUGUUGCUGUUAUUGUUGUUGUUGUUGUUGUUGUUGUUGUUGUUGCAGCAUAUGUAUAAAUUAUGUGGGUAUACACAUGUGGAGGCCAGAGACCCACAUUGGUCAUCUUCCUCUAUUGCUCUUCACCUAUUCUAUUUGAAAGCAGGGUCUUUCAUUGAACUUGGAGCUUGCCUAUUAUAAUAGAUUGGGAAUUCCCCAGAACUGAGACUGUAGCUGCAUCCCACAGCAUCUGGGUUAUGACACGGCUGCUGGGGGUUCUGAGUGCACCCCACAGAAUCUGAAUUAUGGCGUGGUUGCUGGGGUUCCUCAGCUGCAUCCCACAGCAUCUGGGCUAUGACAUGGCUGCUGGAGAGCUGCAGGUGCACACCACAGCAUCUGGAUUCUGAUGUGACUGCUGGGGAUUCACACACAGGUUCCCAUGAUGCACAUCGGGCCAUUAUGCUAUUCCUGUUACAAUUUCAAAGAGCAUAAGCAAACAGGGAUCUUCUAGAAUUCUGAAGAAUUGCCCUUUACCACAUGAUCUAGAACUAGCUUUAUUAAUUGCAGAAUUUAAAUAGACCCUAGCACUUAGUAAGGGAGGAAGAUUUUUUUUUUCAGACACCAGUGUUUCAUGGGGAAAUUCAUGGUUGUGAGGCUUUAAAAAAAUUAAUCUUUAUCAGCUGUAGGAGCUCUCUGGUGGAGUUUUUGGGGUCACUUAAGUACACAAUCAUAUCAUCUGCAUAUAGUGAUAUUUUGACUUCUUCCUUUCCAAUUUGUAUCCCUUUAAUCCUCUUUUCUUGUCUAAUUGCUCUAGCUAGAACUUCAAGUACUGUAUAGAAUAGAUAGGGAGAGAGAGGGCAGCUUUAUCUAGUCCCUUAUUUUAGUGGGAUUGCUUCAAGUUUAUUUUCAUUUAGUUUGAUGUUGGCUACUGGUUUGCUGUAUAUUGCUUUUUACUGUGUUUAGGUAUGGGCCUUGAAUUCCUGAUCUUUCCAAGACUUUUAGGGAUCCAUCCCAUAUACUGCAACCAAACCUGAACAUUAUUGUGGAUGCCAGGAAGUGCUUGCUGAUAGUGCAAAGGACUUAACUGAGAAUCUACACGACUCAAUAUGGUUUCCUCAGAUUAGGCAAUAUCUCAAGUGGGGCCACACCAUGGGAGUCGUUACAAACUUUGCAGAAACACAAACCUCAAAACUAUGGUUUAGCCACAAUUCAUGCCUUCUGUGACUUUCCAUUCAAAUGUAUCCACCUUUUGGUAACCCUCUGUUAUUCAUUUAGAAACCCCAGUCUUCUCUGAUUUGGAGUUGGUCCAUGUAUCCUGUGUCAAUAGUUUAAAGAAAAUCAGCUUUGCCUUCCUUUAAAUAAAUAAAUAAAAAGUAAUCUUUAUUAGACAAUAGAUGUAGAGACAUAAACAUAUGACCAUGAUCUGUAAGUGCAUUAAAGAUCUCAUAUGGCUCGUGGUGAAUUUGACUUUGGGUCCCCCAAAUGAUCCCACAGAGUAACACCCUUUAAAGUGCUGUCUCUUUUGACUAACAAGAAAGACAAGGACGCAAAUAAUAGUCUGUGGUGAGCUAUGCUUUUUCUGUCUGUACAUGGAACUUGUAGUCUAUGUUUAAACAAAGCCCACUUCCUGCUCGAGGCAGUGUAAGAAACACGUGUCCUACAGAGAGACUUAUGCUUCCCCAUAGUCUCCCCUGUGUGCUGGCAGUCUUGGGUUUUUCCGGUAUGCAUGUUUCACAUAUAGCUAAGGAUAUUAAGCAGGAAGUAUUGUCCAGGCAUAUUGCAACUCACAUAGACCUGAGGAGGAACUGGGAUUGAAGAAAAGCAAGCAGAAUAUGUCUUUAGUUAGGUUUGUCUUUGAAUCUCAAGCUAAUUUAAUUCCUACAAUAUUUUACUCACAUUGCACAAUCAGCUGUGUUUUCUGAAUGUUCUACCCUGUAGAAUCAAUCUACAGGACCCUAUGAAGGACAGAAAUUAACUCAGGUCCAACCAGCACAAGCAGGAAGAAGGGGGAAGAAGUUGCCCUGGGCUGUUCAUAUGAGGCAAAGCAGAACUUAGAACAUCUUCACAGGUAUAAUCAUUUUAGCUUCAUGACUGGAAAAUUCAAUGAAUUAUUUUUGUGCUUUCUGGGAUCCCGUAUAUGCUGUUUGAGGUGACAGUACAAGCUUAACAAAAAUGGACGCUCCUUAAGCAUCGUCUAUCUCGGGAGCCCAGCUGAGAAGCGCAUCUGCACAUCCCAGAGAAGAAUGGUGGCUGCCUCAUCAGCAGUCUGUAUCACACAUGUGUUUCUAAGUAAAGCACCCAUCUAUAACAUUUG